rnacentral:rRNA from 1 species
AGGAUGAACGCUGGCGGCGUGCUUAACACAUGCAAGUCGAACGAUGAAGCAGAGCUUGCUCUGUGGAUUAGUGGCGAACGGGUGAGUAACACGUGAGUAACCUGCCCUUGACUCUGGAAUAAGCGUUGGAAACGACGUCUAAUACCGGAUACGAGCUUCCGCCGCAUGGUGAGGAGCUGGAAAGAAUUUCGGUCAAGGAUGGACUCGCGGCCUAUCAGGUAGUUGGUGAGGUAAUGGCUCACCAAGCCUACGACGGGUA